CGGACACUUAAACUACCGAACACCGCUGAAAAGCUGCUGCCUACCUUCCUUUUCGACAAGGCAUGCGAACGUCGGUCGUUCAGGAGUUUUAUUCAUUCGUAUGGACUUUUACCCCGACAGCCAUCCCAUGGAGUCAUUCGUAUACCGAAGGACUGGUGAAAGACUUUGACUCCAUGGCGAUUCGACUAGAUACAUCGGAUCUGAG